rnacentral:tRNA from 1 species
GCCCAAGUGGCGGAAUGGCAGACGCGGCGGUCUCAAAAACCGUUGGGCUAAUACCCGUGUGGGUUCGACUCCCACCUUGGGCA